rnacentral:piRNA from 1 species
CCUAGGUUUUUUAUUAUUCCAGGUGGAUAUG